UUGCUAGAAUACUCGAUUUGUGUUUGUUGAAUCUCUCUUAGAACCCUACUCGAACUCUCCUCCCUGAGACUGAAACUUUCCUCUUUUGAAUAUGUGGAGGAGCAAAGUGCAAGAAAGGUAGUAGAAUGAGCGGUGGGAAAGGCGAAUAAGGAUGGCGUUACACAGUCCCAUAUCUCUCUCAAUCUCUCAAUGAUACGUUUAAUGCUCUUCCCCAAUGUCAAAACCCUAAACCCCUCUCUCCAAUGCCACGACCUCUCCAUCAACCUUCACUCCUCACACUUUUUCCUCACUCUCACAACUUUCUCUCGCUCCCUUAGGGUUCUGCUUCCAGCCGUCAUGCUCAAUGCCGACUCUCGAGUAACAUUUUGCCCACUUUCCGACCACAUUGAGGUCAAGCUCCUCCUCCUCCUCCUCGUCGACAAUCCCAUCCUUUCCUCACUUCACUCUUCACCAACUCCGCUGUCGGACCCUCUCAUACCAAAAUCUGAUGUUAAAGAUGUGAAAAAGAGAAAGAGAAGUGCGUGCGUUUUGUUUGUGAGUUGUGCAUCAGCGUGAGAAAAGGGAGAAAAUAGGAUCUCGUGGAGUUGUGUAUAUAUGAUGCUCUGUGGUAUGGAUCAGGUCUCCAUAGAACAUAUGGACAAAAACCAACUAAAGGGUCUCCAUAUCUAAGGAUUUGCAUUGCAUGAACAUACCCAUAUCAUGUGGCAAGAAUCGUGUUCUCUGUUGGAGAUAAUAAUCUCCUUCGAUCUUCAUUCAUUCUAGGUCCCUGUUCGCACUUAGGCAUUCAAUACUUUGCGGCCUCCAAACGGGUUUCAUUUAAUUUACUUAAGGAGUACUCAGAAGCACACUCAAAGGCCUCCAUAUGGGAAAAUGAGCUCCUGGAUAUAGGCUACAGCCUUUGUGCAUCCAGAUUCCCUACAUAGUAAGGGCUCUUAAUUUUGAACUAAGAACUCUAGCCUCACGUUUUGUUUCCUUAGUUGGUAUAAGGUUAACCCUUUGCAUAUUAUUUUCUCUGUUAGUCGUGUACUCUUUGUGUCAGAUGGCUUACUCCAAGUAACAUUUAUUUUUAUACUUCUUGAUACACUUGAUAAGGAUAUUAAUUUGUUUUCCAUGAGAGUGAGGUAGUAUUGUAUAACAUUAAAUAAUUCAUUUCUUCGACAGUUUUGUUAACAUGAAGAAUUUAGUUCUCUA